UAGAGACUCAGAGCUGCAUAUCAAUAAGCGGAGGAAAAGAAACUAACAAGGAUUCCCUUAGUAACGGCGAGUGAAGCGGGAAGAGCUCAAAUUUGAAAUCUUCAAGGCUCUACCUUGACGAAUUGUAGUUUAAAGAAGUGUUUUCUGUUAGUGGAGUGGCAAAAGUUCUUUGGAAUAGGACAUCAUAGAGGGUGAGAAUCCCGUAUUUGGUCAUUCCUUCUAGCUUUGUGAUACACUUUCAACGAGUCGGAUUGUUUGGGAAUGCAGUCCAAAAUGGGUGGUAAAUUUCAUCUAAAGCUAAAUAUUGGCGAGAGACCGAUAGCGAACAAGUACCGUGAGGGAGAGAUGAAAAGAACUUUGAAAAGAGAGUUAAACAGUACGUGAAAUUGUCAAAAGGGAAGCGUUUGACACCAGUGUUGUUUUUUCCGAAAAUCAAUUACGAAUGUUUUGUUUUUGAGAAGUUAUGACUUCAUCGGCUUGCUCUCUUCUUUACUGAAACUUUCUUAAUGCACUUUUCGGUUAACAAGUCAACAUCAAUUUCUUUUGUUGUAAAAGGGUAUGAGGAAGGUGGCUUUCUUUUCGGAGAAAGUGUUUAUAGCCUUGUGCCUCCUGCAAUCGGAGAGAUUGAGGUCUGCAGCGUAGAUCCUUCGGGGUUAGAUACAUUUUGUGCUAAGUUAUAGCUUUUCAUAGACAACUUGUUGAGCUAUGUUUAGUCUUGUAGCUUACUCGCUUACGCUAUUUUACCUACGCUUAGGAUGUUGACGAGACUGUCGAUCUC
rnacentral:rRNA from 1 species